CCUACGGGCGGCAGCAGUGGGGAAUAUUGGACAAUGGGGGGAACCCUGAUCCAGCGACGCCGCGUGAGUGAAGAAGUAUUUCGGUAUGUAAAGCUCUAUCAGCAGGGAAGAAAAUGACGGUACCUGACUAAGAAGCCCCGGCUAACUACGUGCCAGCAGCCGCGGUAAUACGUAGGGGGCAAGCGUUAUCCGGAUUUACUGGGUGUAAAGGGAGCGUAGACGGUGCAGCAAGUCUGAUGUGAAAGGUCGGGGCCCAACCCCGGGACUGCAUUGGAAACUGUUGAACUGGAGUACAGGAGUGGGAGGCGGAAUUCCUGGGGGGGCGGGGAAAGGCGUAAAUAUUAGGGGGAA
rnacentral:rRNA from 1 species